UACGUAGGGGCAAGCGUUGUCCGGAAUCAUUGGGCGUAAAGCGCGUGUAGGCGGCUAGAUAAGUCUGCUCUCGAAAGCCCGGGCUCAACCCCGGGAGGCGGGUGGAUACUGUCUAGCUCGAGUCCGGAAGAGGAGUGUGGAAUUCCUGGUGUAGCGGUGAAAUGCCGCAGAUAUCAGGAGGAACACCAAUGGCGAAGGCAGCACUCUGGGACGUGACUGACGCUGAGACGCGAAAGCGUCGGGAGCAAACAGG
rnacentral:rRNA from 1 species